CCUACGGGCGGCUGCAGUGGGGAAUAUUGGACAAUGGGCGAAAGCCUGAUCCAGCCAUGCCGCGUGUGUGAAGAAGGCCUUCGGGUUGUAAAGCACUUUCAGUGGGGAAGAAAGCCUUGGGGCUAAUACCCUCGAGGAAGGACAUCACCCACAGAAGAAGCACCGGCUAACUCCGUGCCAGCAGCCGCGGUAAUACGGAGGGUGCGAGCGUUAAUCGGAAUUACUGGGCGUAAAGCGCGCGUAGGCGGUCUGAUAAGCCGGUUGUGAAAGCCCCGGGCUCAACCUGGGAACGGCAUCCGGAACUGUCAGGCUAGAGUGCAGGAGAGGAAGGUAGAAUUCCAGGUGUAGCGGUGAAAUGCGUAGAGAUCGGGAGGAAUACCAGUGGCGAAGGCGGCCUUCUGGACUGACACUGACGCUGAGGUGCGAAAGCGUGGGUAGCAAACAGGAUUAGAUACCCCAGUAGUC
rnacentral:rRNA from 1 species